UUGACAGUUGUGAAGACCAAAGUCCUUUCUUUAAGCCCAGAACCGGUUCAGCAAGGGCACUGGCAGUACAAGCUUCCCUCACACGCUGCCCUCCUGUUGUGCCGCAGCCCUGCCCUGGAGGGGCCUCUGGCAGGACUUCAGAAAGUAGUUCAGUCUCAAAUGGCCUAAUUCAGAGGUUCCCAAAC
rnacentral:sRNA from 1 species